rnacentral:rRNA from 1 species
UACAGAGGUCUCAAGCGUUGUUCGGAUUCAUUGGGCGUAAAGGGUGCGUAGGCGGCCGCGCAAGUCAGGUGUGAAAUCCCGGGGCUCAACCCCGGAACUGCACUUGAUACUGCGUUGCUAGAGUACUGGAGAGGAGACUGGAAUUUACGGUGUAGCAGUGAAAUGCGUAGAUAUCGUAAGGAAGACCAGUGGCGAAGGCGAGUCUCUGGACAGUUACUGACGCUGAGGCACGAAGGCCAGGGGAGCAAACGGG